GUCUUCAUGGUGCAACUGUAGCACACUCGGCUCGUAUUUGAGAGAUCCAGGUUCGAGCCCCUGUGAGGGCA
rnacentral:tRNA from 1 species